UUUAAAAAAAAAAACUUCUGGGCUGUGGAGCUAGAUCAAUAUUCACCUAUAAUCUUAGGACUGAGAAAUAGAGAUAGGAGGAUCCCAGGGGGCUCACUAGCCUUUUAGUCUGCUGAAUCAGUAAGCUCAGGGUUCACUGAGAGAUGGUGUCUGAAAUGUUCCCAGAUUUCCUAAUCACCAACCUUUCCUAAUCCACCCAAUUUUGGGGUGUCUUUAAAAAUAUUCCCCCCCCCCCCUCUCCUUCCCCGCCUGGGGCCCGGGGUGGGAGGGUGAGGACACUGCCAGCGCGCGUGCGCGCACUCAGUCUUGCAGCUAGUCUGCGUGCGUGUGUAGGAGGCGGCAGGCCUGCAACUCCAGCCUUCCUGGCUGACUGCUCCUAUGCCGCAACCCCAGUCAUGAACCGGGUUUGGCACCCGGUUGGUGGGAGCCGCUGCCGAAAGCACGAAGCAAUGAGAACCUCGACAAAAUCAGUAUGUCCCCGGAUGAUAUUAUCAAACUGAAUAGAAAGGAAGGAAAGAAGCAAAAUUUUCCAAGACUAAAUAGGAGGCUCCAGCAAAGUGGUACCCGGCAAUUCAGGAUGAGAGUACGGUGGGGAAUCCAGCAGAAUUCUGGUUUUGGUAAAACUAGAGUUUUGCCUGGAAAAAGACGUCCUUAUGGGGUUAUCACUGGCCUCACAGCCAGGAAAGCAACUGGUAUUCGGAAAGGAAUAAGUCCUAUGAAUCGUCCACCUCUAAGUGACAAGAAUAUAGAACGAUGUUUUCCAGCAUUAAAAAGGAAGACAAGCCUUCUGAGACAAAAUGAAGUGCAAAGGAAACAAGUUCUCAAGAGACCUAAUCAGUUAAACAGAAAAAAUAACAUUCCAGCUAAUUUUACCAGGAGUGGAAAUAAACUAAGUCAUCAGAAAGACACUCGUCGGGCAACCUUUCUUUUCUGAAGAGGCCUGAAGGUUCAAACCCAGUUGCACACAGAACAGCUGCUAGAUGAUGCGGUAGCAAAGAGAACGCGUCAAUGGCGUACUUCUACCACAAAUGGAGGAAUUUUGACUGUGUCUAUUGACAAUCCUGGAGCUGUACAGUGUCCAGUGCCCUCAUUCUUGACAAAAAGAGAACAGUCUGAUGUUAAGAAAGUUCCUAAAGGCGUCCCUCUACAGUUUGACAUAAGUGAUGUGGGAAAACAGACAGGGAUGGCUUUGAAUGAGCGAUUUGGGAUACUGAAAGAGCAAAGAGCCAGCCUCACAUUCAGCAAAGGAGGAAGCCGCUUUGUGACUGUGGGAUAGAUCCAUGUCCAAGGAACUUUUAAGUGUUGACUGUUUGAAAAGUUGAUUUGCUUGAAGAAUUCAUUGGAGAAGUUCAAGAAACUUUACUUCAGAAUAUUCACAAGCCUAAAUAACUUUAUUUUUGAAGGUUGUUUUGUUUUGUUUUAAUGUAUAAAUAGUGCCCUGAAAGAAUAGCAGGGAAUAUGCCUAUCUGUUCUUAAAGAUUUCAUGGUUGGCCCAUA